rnacentral:tRNA from 1 species
ACCUGGCUGGCUCAGUUGUUAGAGUGUGUGACUCUUGAUCUUGGGGUCAUGAGUUCAAACCUCAUGUUGAGUG